rnacentral:rRNA from 1 species
UACAUGGGGUGCAAACGUUGCUCGGAAUUAUUGGGCGUAAAGCGCACGUAGGCGGUUUGUUAAGUCGGAUGUGAAAUCCCUCGGCUCAACUGAGGAAGUGCAUUCGAAACUGCAGAGCUGGAGUCCUGGAGAGGAAGGCGGAAUUCUCGGUGUAGAGGUGAAAUUCGUAGAUAUCGAGAGGAACACCGGUGGCGAAGGCGGCCUUCUGGACAGUGACGUGACGCUGAGACGCGAAAGCGUGGGGAGCAAACAGGG